UACGUAGGGUGCGAGCGUUGUCCGGAAUUAUUGGGCGUAAAGAGCUCGUAGGCGGUUUGUCGCGUCGGCCGUGAAAACUUGGGGCUUAACCCCAAGCCUGCGGUCGAUACGGGCAUGACUGGAGUUCGGCAGGGGAGACUGGAAUUCCUGGUGUAGCGGUGAAAUGCGCAGAUAUCAGGAGGAACACCGGUGGCGAAGGCGGGUCUCUGGGCCGAUACUGACGCUGAGGAGCGAAAGCGUGGGGAGCGAACAGG
rnacentral:rRNA from 1 species